rnacentral:rRNA from 2 species
UACGUAUGGUGCAAGCGUUAUCCGGAUUUACUGGGUGUAAAGGGAGCGCAGGCGGUGCGGCAAGUCUGAUGUGAAAGCCCGGGGCUCAACCCCGGUACUGCAUUGGAAACUGUCGUACUAGAGUGUCGGAGGGGUAAGCGGAAUUCCUAGUGUAGCGGUGAAAUGUGUAGAUAUUAGGAGGAACACCAGUGGCGAAGGCGGCUUACUGGACGAUAACUGACGCUGAGGCUCGAAAGCGUGGGGAGCAAACAGG